CACGUAGGGCGCGAGCGUUGUCCGGAAUUAUUGGGCGUAAAGAGCUCGUAGGCGGCCUGUUGCGUCCGCUGUGAAAGCCCGGGGCUUAACCCCGGGUCUGCAGUGGAUACGGGCAGGCUAGAGGUAGGUAGGGGAGAAUGGAAUUCCCGGUGUAGCGGUGAAAUUCGUAGAUAUCGAGAGGAACACCGGUGGCGAAGGCGGCGAUCUGGACGAUGACUGACGCUGAGACGCGAAAGCCAGGGGAGCAAACGGG
rnacentral:rRNA from 1 species